CGCGUAGGCGGCUUAGCAAGUCAGAUGUGAAAGCCCCGGGCUUAACUCGGGAAUUGCAUCUGAAACUGCUUUGCUUGAGUCCUGGAGGGGGUAGUGGAAUUCCCAGUGUAGCGGUGAAAUGCGUAGAUAUUGGGAGGAACACCUGCGGCGAAGGCGGCUACCUGGACAGUGACUGACGCUGAGGCGCGAAAGCUAGGGGAGCGAACGGGAUUAGAUACCCCGGUAGUCCUAGCCGUAAACGAUGGGCACUUGGUGUUGGGGGUAUUGAGUCCCCCGGUGCCGGAGUUAACACGUUAAGUGCCCCGCCUGGGGAGUACGGUCGCAAGACUGAA
rnacentral:rRNA from 1 species